GGGGGGGAGGACACGCGAAGGCGGUGCGAGCCAGUGGACGGCCACGAAAUAACUGCUAACGCUAUAUGCAGUUUUAACUUGAGGGACUUUGAAUGGGCGGGUGGGAGGCAGGGAGAGGGGGGGGGGGGGUACAGAGGAGGAAGAGUUUAUCUAUUUCUUACCUGCCCACCGUUUUGGCGCGAUGCUCAGGUGACGCGAUACACUCCCAAAAGCGACCGCUACGGCGAGAAGGAGACCGACCGCUCUCAAACACCCGGGCUGCGGUCCGGCGACCGAGCAGACAACAGGCGACAGGAAGGAGAACAUUGGCGAUCACAAGGAGGAUCUACGCCAAAAGCCACAUGAUCGCCGACGUCACAGACCGCGGCCGGCUGACAUGUGGACUGAACAUAACUCACAUAACUAGACGUUAUGUGCAGAACCAACAGCAUCUAUUUGUAUAGCUUUAGCCAUUAUGUAUCUAGUAGCUUGUUCAGUUUCUGCAUGAAUUGUAGUGUAGCUGUUUCGGAUGUCCUUAGUCAAACUGAGUGUCCUGUUGUUGAUAUUCUGCUUGAGUUGUGAGAACACUGAUCCAACUCCCCAGGCUAAAUGAUAGCAAACAUCCAAAGAAAGCUGAUAAAUUGCCUGUCUUUCACAGUAUUAUGAAGGGGAAAUGAUAAAACAUCACAACAGUUAAACAUCAGCAGGGGGUAAUUUCUCCAACAUUGUGUUGAAAAUCAAAUCUACCUCCAGAAGGUUUUACCAUGUCGUUGAUUCACAUUUUUAUGUGUCUUCCAGACCUGACAUCAAAACCAUCUUUUGAAAGUAAAGAACUGGUAAAAAUAGUUUUGUGUGUGUGUGAGUAAUGAGUAAGGAAAGAGUUUGGUAUUUUAGCGCGGGUGAUCACCUGUCUGCUCUGAGCCUUUCACACAAAAUUCAGUAACAAGCUAUCUGAAUGUGUUAAAGUGGUCAAUUUACCCCUCAGCUGUCAGGCCACUGAUGUGUUUUCUGCUGCUUUAAUCAUUAUUUACAGUGGUUCAAGUUUGGCUUGAUUCCACGGCCCCUGCAGAGCACCAUUCAUUGAAAGUGGACCAAUCUUCUUUCCUUUACCGAAGUGUGAAAGAAACAGAGCUGACAAGGUGUCACAAGCCUUCUUUUAUGUCCCCCUCGGGCCUCGUAGAAAAACUCAGUAUGAAAGAGAGAUGUUUUUAAGCCAGACUGGAUUUUAAGGGGCUUCUCUGUGAACCUGUCCGUCGGGACAUAGGCCAGACAGAACAAAGCCGCUCCCCACUGCACCAGCGAGGCCAAAACAGUUAUGAUUUUAUGGGAGUUUAUUGCAGCCUACAUUACAUUACAUGUCAUUUAGCAGACGUUUUUGUCCAAAGCGACUUGCAUUUCAAACAUAAGGAUACACACCCAGAGGAACAAGAAAGUUCAAUUACUUCAAGUAAGCCGAUUUACAACUCGCCAUAGCUAAAGUUUGUUUUGUGUUUUUUCGUCACGCCAGGACAGCAGAGUCGUGAUCUUGUCGAGUGUUUCGAUCCUGGUCUACACGAGUGCACCGUGCUACUUAAUGCAUGUUCCACCUUUGUGCCAACAGAGGGAUGCUGGUAGAGUCAGAAUCAGAAACAUUUAUCUGCCAAGUAUGUUGAACAGGAUAUUGUCAUGGAGGGUGGUGCAUGCAUGGAACAAAAGAGAAUCAUUCUCUAUUUUAAACUAUUUUAAAAUAAAAUAUAAGUAAAAAAGAUAAAGGUGAAGGUGUACAGGCAGAUAACAGAUAACAAUACUACUACACUACUACUACUACUACUUCAAAUAGAGUCAGUCAGUGGGGGACCUCGGUGCUGAUGGAACUCAACCGUUUGCCAGGUGGAAGGAGCACAAACAGCUUCCGGGGUGAAAAGGGUCGGUUACGAAUCUUUCCAGCUCGCUUCAGGGUCCUAGAAGCGAGCUGGAGGGACAGCAGAUUGGUGGGGCUUCCAGAUAUCCACAACCAUCUUCACUGUCUUGAAGUUGCUUUGCCUCCACAACGUCACCAGAUGGUCAGAUUCCCACCUGUCGGCAGACUCGUCCCCACCAGAGAUGAGUCCAACGAGGGUGGUGUCGUCCGUAAACUUCAAGAGCUUGACAGACUGGCGGCUGGAGGUGUAGAGGGAGAAGAGGGGAAAGAACGCAGCCUUCAGGGGAACCGGAGCUGAUGGGCCGAGAGGCUGAGACAUGUUUUCCCAGCUUCAAGUGCUGCUGCCUGUCAGAGAGGAAGUCUGUGAUCCACUUGCAGGUGGAGUCGGGUGAUGCAGCAUGCUGGAGGAAUCCUAGUAAUCCUAAACCACCAAAAAUAUAUCCAGAAUCCAGGUUAGAAAAAAUAUAUUAUUACUUAUUUGUGGCUUAUCAAAUAAUAACAAGGCUCUGGGUUCGAGCCCCUUUUACAGUUUCUUCAAUGCAAAUUCCGAACAUCAGCUGCAGUUAAUGUGGCGACGUGCUUUGGGUAUCAUAGGUGACGGGGAUCAUGGACCUGAAUGUUGAUGGGUUAAAUCAUCUGUGGAAAAUGUGAGCAAAUGUGUCACACAAUAUCUGUUCUUUUUUCUGUAAAGUCAACAAUACAAGCUUAUGUAAAUAACAAUACAAAUCCAUGGAGAGAAAGUAGCUGUAACGUCUGAGGUGCCUUUUGGUGUGGAACAUUACCAUCAUGCACUUAUUUUGUGAGCCAUUAACAGACAAUAUUCAGCAAAGGCAAAAGUUGUGUUUCAGAAUAGAGCAAUUUUUACAACCAAUGUGAUCUUUGCUGAGGAAAUUGUCUUUUACAGACAGAUUUUACCUUUGAAAGCUCACAAAAGUUGAUUACCUUCCAACUCUUACAAAGGAAGUAAACUUAUCAAGCUCUGGCGAUGAUGAUGCAUUUCUGUUACAAAUUUUGUGUCGGUUCUCUUUUUCCCUAAAUAAUUUGUAAAAAAUGUAUUCAAUUCCUUUGACUUCAAUAUUCCAGUUGGUAUGAAUAUAUUUAGAACAUACCUUCCUAAUCCGUGAGACACGGAACUCUGUAAAUGUGUAAACUUCAUUAAAGUAGAAGGUCACUAGGUGGUGCCACAUGGCUGUACAAACCGCUCCUAGUUUACAAUCUGAAGCGUCCUGCCUAAAGCAUGGGUCUCCGUUUCCAGCCUGAAGUGGUCUAUCCUGUGCUUUUUAUUUUAUUUAUCACUUUCAUGUAUUUCAAUCAGCGAAUUGAAUAAGGAUGCUUACGUUUGCCGGAUUUGUGUUGGUUGAACCCAAAGUCUUUAUUGCAUCGUUAGAAAGCAUAAAACCUGCAUGAUGCAUCAAAUUCAAAUUCAAAAAGCUUAGAAACAUUAAAAAGUCAAAUCCAAUCCAGCCAGCCCGGCUAACUAGCUACAAGUUGAAGAUGAGAAGUCUGUCUUUGACAAAUAACUAUAUUUUAGUUGUAAAUCUGCACAAUAACUGUGUCAAUGUGUCAAUCUAGACAGUAAAAGACCAUAGGUCAACAACUACACUACUACUACAACAAGGGGAUGGUCUUAACGAAUAGUUAAUUGAUACAUAUGCUGCCCUAAUAUUACAUUAAUAGGCUAUUGUAGCGUUUUACUGUUCUUUAACUGUUGAGAUGGAACUAUGCUAUUGUGUGGCCAGUUAGUGUGCAUUGUGGGAUGCGUGUUUUUUCAGGUUAUGCAUGUACGUCGAGCAGUCUUGGCCCAUUCAGACAGCAGACAGUUGGAAUAUAUUCAAAAUGCUGUUUGGUAAGAAUGUAUUCACAAAUGAGCAGUGGGGUCAAUAAAUCCUGUUAUCACCACUGAAACGUCAUGCAGACUUCCCUUCCCACGUUCAGGUUUGACCGUGACACACAGCUGUGGAUACAACUAUCGCACAGCAAACAAAGAGGAGGAGAGAGGAGGAGUGGGGAAACUCAGGGGAGGGAAUAAGAGUAACGGGACAGUAUUAAUAAAAAGAGAGGUUCCAAAUCCAAUGUGAACAACUAAAGAAAGAGUGCAAAGGGAAGGACGGUAGGAUUUAUCUGAAGCCUUAAAAUGUAGUCUGGCAAAGUACCUAUCUGAAGUCUCUUAUUGGUAGACAGCAAACAGUACAAAGAAUAAAACUUGUUAAACUGCUCAUUCGGUUUCAUUCCGCUGUCAUCCGGUCUGUUCUCUGCAACUCCCUCCCGGUGGGGUUUGGAUCGGCUACCAAGCAGGAUGGGAGAAGACUGUCAGGUCUGCAGAUUGAGUCGUUGGCUGCCCCCCCAUCCUGGAUUUGUUCAUCUGCAGAGGCCGAAAACAGGCGGAAACAUCGGUGUAGACCCGUUACACCCGGGACACAACCAGCCCUCUGGUGGGCGCUACAGAGCAAUGUACGCCAGCACACACAGGACCAGCUUCUUUCUACUGGCCCAUCACUCUGAUUAAAUUACCUCUAUUUCAUGGUCAUUGUUGUUUUUUAUGUUCGUACGUAUGCAUGUACUUUUGUAUUUACAUUUGUACAUAGUAGUUCAUGUUUAUGCUUGUAUCUCUUCGAUUGCUUGUCCUUUUUUUUUCUUUUUGUAUGUGUACAGUAUAUUAUAUGUAAGUGCCUAUAGAAAUAAUGGAGUCAAAUUCCUUGUAUGCAUACGCAUCAUGACCAAGAGAGGCGAUUCUGAUUCUGAGUAGAAUCAAACAGCAGGUACAGAAAAGACUUCUGCAGAGACCCCCGCUCAGUCCCAGCAGAUGAGCGUCUAAUCAAGUCCAGAGUUUGGACUGCAGGUCCAUUAAGUACACAGCAGGUUUAGCAAAUGCACAGAAAUCGUUUCAAAGGAAAGGAGCAACCUUUGAAUUAAGAUUUUUUACAAAGGUGUUCUGCUAUUUACUGAAGAUUGUCUCAUUGGCUCAGAUGAGGAGCUCGAAGGCAACUAAACAAUCUUUUCACUGUACACUGAUCAAAGGAGCAUCAGUCCUCAAAUGAUUUUGUUGGACAAGAAAAUAAUGUGAGAAUAUACAAACAUGCUGUAGCGUAGUAUUUUCAGGCACUCCAUCUCCUUCCAUCAACGGUAUGAUGAAACAUUUCAUUAUGCCUGAAAAUCCUACUAGGCAGUACAAGGAGGAAACCAGAUCACUGUUCUUUCUCCGGUCACACUGCCUUUGUGGGAGACUGCCUCUCAUCCACGUCUAACUAUCUUUGAUUUGAAAUAAAGUCUUUUGUAAUAGACAAAAUGCUCCUUUUUUGUGAUAAAAAAGGAGCAUUCUUUCUAAUCACGUUUUUUUUUGAAAGAUUGACAGUAAUGUGCUUUCCCAAAGCACUCAAGAACAGUAAAAUGGCCAUUCUUAAUAACUCCUCUUAAUAUCCACUGGUCACAUGAAUAACAUACUUAUUCUAAUGUAGUUUUUUGUUGUUUGAUGAAAAUAUUUAUAGUGUUCAUAGUAUAGCCAACCGUUUCUGAUUCUGAAAUUAGCGGCCCGAUAGUCCGCUGCCACUACGCAUCCGACUCAAAGAGAUGAAUAGAUGGGAUGAGGCUGGCACAGUGAAAGGAAGAUGAUAUUAAAAUAUAAAGGCUAAUUCUAAGAUAAAGGCAAACAUUUGGGACUUAUCUAGUUCAUGAAAUAAAAUAAUAUUAAUGCCCUACGAUCAGACAAUUACCCGUCUCUCCCCAGAGUGUCAUUUAUUUGUAUUUUUUUUGUAAUUUUAUUGUUGGUGGGAGGAUAGCAGAUGCAUCUCCUGAGAGGUGUGGGCAUCCUCUUGCAGUGUUUUAAUUUGGGUUCCUGUGACCCCGAUGGUCAGUUUGGGAGCUGGCGUCUGCUCUCCGUCCAGCGAAGCAGCCUCCCGGCGUCGUGGCGUGAGGGCGGAGGGUCCAAGGGUUCCGGUUCUCGUCUCACUUGUAGUCUGAGUUUUAAAGCCACUGUAGAUGUCAUAUUCGUCCACGCUGCGUCAAGGCUUUGAAGGCGUGCUUUCAUUUUUAAAAACGUUUUUCCAAAUGAUGAGAAGACGGUGGCUUAGACCUUGGGGGUUAAGUUACACUUUGCACCGCUGCCACUUUUUUUUGCCCACUGAAAUAAUGAAUAAUUAAAAUGAUAAGAAAUUAAACACCUAUUGGGAAAAUUCCAAUUUGCACUAUAGAAAUAACUCAUUUUUUUCACAUGCAAUUCAGUGUACUGCAUUUAAUAAACAUAUUAUGAGUUUACUUUAGUGUGCUUCCAAAUGUGUGUGCAGGAGGAAAAACAUUCACAGAGAAACUAUAUGUCUUUGUAGCUUAAAAAACAGUUUAGACACGCUUGUUGCAUUAUAUUAAAUCAUUCUAUUGUGCAACCAUCCACUCUGUCAGUGGACACACCCUGGUUUCACUGUGUAUCUACGUAGUUUACAUUUGCAUGAUGCACUUAUGCUGUUGUUCUGUAAUUAAAGUAUACAAGACCAACAUUAUGUUAUCUGUUGCAAUGAGCCGGCUACUAUUACAGUGUGUGUUUCCCUUUUAUGUGUGUGUAUAUAGAGUUUCAGAAAGCCUCUUCUUGCUUGUCUGGUAAAAACUUGCAUCCAGCAGUAUAACGACAGUGCUGUAAACAGUGCUGUGGAUUUAUUCAGUAUAUAGUUUCGAUUUUUUUUAUUGUUACGUUUUUAUUGCAGGGCUUGUGAGUAAAGCUAUAAUCUCUUAAAGAACACACUCUUCUACCCCGUCAUCUCUGUCUUGCUGUUUCUGCCUGUUGUAUACAUUUCUC
ensembl:lncRNA